GAUGAACGCUAGCGGGAGGCCUAACACAUGCAAGCCGAGCGGUAUUUGUCCUUCGGGACAGAGAGAGCGGCGUACGGGUGCGGAACACGUGUGCAACCUACCUUUAUCAGGGGGAUAGCCUUUCGAAAGGAAGAUUAAUACCCCAUAAUAUAAACCAAGGCAUCUUGAUUUAUUGAAAACUCCGGUGGAUAGAGAUGGGCACGCGCAAGAUUAGAUAGUUGGUAGGGUAACGGCCUACCAAGUCAAUGAUCUUUAGGGGGCCUGAGAGGGUGAUCCCCCACACUGGUACUGAGACACGGACCAGACUCCUACGGGAGGCAGCAGUGAGGAAUAUUGGACAAUGGGUGAGAGCCUGAUCCAGCCAUCCCGCGUGAAGGACGACGGCCCUAUGGGUUGUAAACUUCUUUUGUAUAGGGAUAAACCUACUCUCGUGAGAGUAGCUGAAGGUACUAUACGAAUAAGCACCGGCUAACUCCGUGCCAGCAGCCGCGGUAAUACGGAGGGUGCAAGCGUUAUCCGGAUUUAUUGGGUUUAAAGGGUCCGUAGGCGGGCUUGUAAGUCAGUGGUGAAAUCUCAUAGCUUAACUAUGAAACUGCCAUUGAUACUGCAGGUCUUGAGUAAAGUAGAAGUGGCUGGAAUAAGUAGUGUAGCGGUGAAAUGCAUAGAUAUUACUUAGAACACCAAUUGCGAAGGCAGGUCACUAUGUUUUAACUGACGCUGAUGGACGAAAGCGUGGGGAGCGAACAGGAUUAGAUACCCUGGUAGUCCACGCCGUAAACGAUGCUAACUCGUUUUUGGGCUUUCGGGUUCAGAGACUAAGCGAAAGUGAUAAGUUAGCCACCUGGGGAGUACGUUCGCAAGAAUGAAACUCAAAGGAAUUGACGGGGGCCCGCACAAGCGGUGGAUUAUGUGGUUUAAUUCGAUGAUACGCGAGGAACCUUACCAAGGCUUAAAUGGGAAUUGACAGGUUUAGAAAUAGACUUUUCUUCGGACAAUUUUCAAGGUGCUGCAUGGUUGUCGUCAGCUCGUGCCGUGAGGUGUUAGGUUAAGUCCUGCAACGAGCGCAACCCCUGUCACUAGUUGCCAUCAUUCAGUUGGGGACUCUAGUGAGACUGCCUACGCAAGUAGAGAGGAAGGUGGGGAUGACGUCAAAUCAUCACGGCCCUUACGCCUUGGGCCACACACGUAAUACAAUGGCCGGUACAGAGGGCAGCUACCUAGCGAUAGGAUGCGAAUCUCGAAAGCCGGUCUCAGUUCGGAUUGGAGUCUGCAACUCGACUCUAUGAAGCUGGAAUCGCUAGUAAUCGCAUAUCAGCCAUGAUGCGGUGAAUACGUUCCCGGGCCU
rnacentral:rRNA from 1 species